CUACGGGGUGCUGCAGUGGGGAAUUUUGCGCAAUGGGGGAAACCCUGACGCAGCAAUACCGCGUGGGUGAAGAAGGCCUUUGGGUCGUAAAGCUCUUUUCUUGGGGAAGAUAGUGACGGUACCCAAGGAAUAAGCACCGGCUAACUCCGUGCCAGCAGCCGCGGUAAUACGGAGGGUGCAAGCGUUGUUCGGAUUUACUGGGCGUAAAGGGCACGUAGGCGGCACAGCAAGUUAAGGGUGAAAUCCCGGGGCUCAACUCCGGAACUGCUCUUAAAACUGCUGAGCUAGAGAUAGUCAGAGGCGGGUGGAAUUCCAGGUGUAGAGGUGAAAUUCGUAGAUAUCUGGAGGAACACCGGUGGCGAAGGCGGCCCGCUGGGGCUAUUCUGACGCUAAGGUGCGAAAGCGUGGGGAGCAAACGGGAUUAGAUACCCCAGUAGUC
rnacentral:rRNA from 1 species